GAGGAAUAUUGGUCAAUGGGCGCGAGCCUGAACCAGGCAAGUAGCGUGAAGGAUGACUGCCCUAUGGGUUGUAAACUUCUUUUAAGGGGGAAGAGUAGAAGACGGUACCCCUUGAAUAAGCCACGGCUAACUACGUGCCAGCAGCCGCGGUAAUACGUAGGUGGCGAGCGUUGUCCGGAAUUACUGGGUGUAAAGGGCGUGUAGGCGGGAAUGUAAGUCAGAUGUGAAAUCCCAGGGCUUAACUCUGGAGCUGCAUCUGAAACUAUGUUUCUUGAGUGUCGGAGAGGAAAGCGGAAUUCCUAGUGUAGCGGUGAAAUGCGUAGAUAUUAGGAGGAACACCAGUGGCGAAGGCGGCUUUCUGGACGAUAACUGACGCUGAGGCGCGAAAGCGUGGGGAGCGAACA
rnacentral:rRNA from 1 species